rnacentral:lncRNA from 15 species
GUGAGACUGUGCUUUUGAAAAUUAAAAUACAUGGGUGUUUUGAGAAGAAGGUCUUACAAAUGAUAGAUGAAUUGAUUAAAAAGUUCAAAAACAAAAUAUGGACUAAUUUGUCAGUACCAAACAUGAAACAGGCAAGGGGAAAGAUUGUUUUACUCCGGAGUAACAGCUUCCAUCAAGGAACAGUAAACAUUAAAUCGUUUUUCAUCAAAUAUGACAAGCUAAUCAAUGUUGAAGAAAAAAUAAAGGAAUACAAGUCACACCUCUGUAACCAUCACGUUGUGCUGACUGACACUGCAGCAUCAUUUCAUCAAAGUCCUAAAACGUUGGCUAAAACAGUUAACAAGAAGCUUAAUAACUUUGUUGUGGAACAUAAGAAAAAGUCCGUAAACCAAGGUUGCUUAGGGAUCUUAAGUGUGAACUUCCCCAGUGCGGAACUCAUUAAAAACAUAAUUCUACUCAAACCGUGCAACUGUGGGGAAGGUGGAAAGAGAGAGGAGCCUCAAACGACGACUGAGCUGCAAACGAAACAGGACAUAGAAAAAACAACUGAACCCGACUCUACACCUGAACCAGGACCACCAACAUCUGGGCAAGAUUCAGAGCCAACACCUGCACCAGAGCCUGAAAAAGAACAACCAACAUCUGGGCAAGAUUCAGAGCCAACACCUGCACCAGAGCCUGAACCAGAACCACCAACAUCAGGGCAAGAUUCAGAGCCAACACCUGCACCAGAGCUUGAACCAGAAUCACCAACAUCUGGGCAAGAUUCAGAGCCAACAGCUGCACCAGAGCCUGAACCACCAACAUCUGGGGAAGAUUCAGAGCCAACAGCUGCACCAGAGCCUGAACCAGAACCACCAACAUCUGGGCAAGAUUCAGAGCCAACACCUGCACCAGAGCCUGAACCAGAACCACCAACAUCUGGGCAAGAUUCAGAGCCAACGCCUGCACCAGAGCCUGAACCAGAAUCGGCAACAUCUGGGCAAGAUUCAGAGCCAACGCCUGCACCAGAGCCGGAACCAGAAUCGGCAACAUCUGGGCAUGAUUCAGAGCCAACAGCUGCACCUGAGCCUGAACCAGAAUCACCAACAUCUGGGCAAGAUUCAGAGCCAACACCUGCACCAGAGCCUGAACCAGAACCGCCAACAUCUGGGCAAGAUUCAGAGCCAACAGCUGCACCAGGGCCUGAACCAGAACCACCAACAUCUGGGCAGGAUUCAGAGCCAACACCUGCACCAGAGCCUGAACCAGAAUCACCAACAUCUGGGCAAGAUUCAGAGCCAACACCUGCACCAGAGCCUGAACCAGAACCACCAACAUCUGGGCAGGAUUCAGAGCCAACACCUGCACCAGAGCCUGAACCAGAACCACCAACAUCUGGGCAAGAUUCAGAGCCAACACCUGCACCAGAACCUGAACCAGAAUCACCAACAUCUGGGGAAGAUUCAGAGCCAACAGCUGCACCAGAGCCUGAACCAGAACCACCAACAUCUGGGCAAGAUUCAGAGCCAACACCAGCACAGGAGCCUGAACCAGAAUCACCAACAUCUGGGAAAGAUUCAGAGCCAACACCUGCACCAGAACCUGAACCAGAACCGCCAACAUCUGGGCAAGAUUCAGAGCCAACAGCUGCACCAGAGCCUGAACCACCAACAUCUGGGGAAGAUUCAGAGCCAACACCUGCACCAGAGCCUGAACCAGAAUCGCCAACAUCUGGGCAAGAUUCAGAGCCAACAGCUGCACCAGAGCCUGAACCAGAACCGCCAACAUCUGGGCAAGAUUCAGAGCCAACACCUGCACCAGAGCCUGAACCAGAACCACCAACAUCAGGGCAAGAUUCAGAGCCAACACCUGCACCAGAGCCUGAGCCAGAACCACCA